rnacentral:rRNA from 1 species
UACGUAGGGUGCGAGCGUUAAUCGGAAUUACUGGGCGUAAAGCGUGCGCAGGCGGCUUUGCAAGACAGAUGUGAAAUCCCCGGGUUCAACCUGGGAACUGCAUUUGUGACUGCAAGGCUUGAGUGCGGCAGAGGGGGAUGGAAUUCCGCGUGUAGCAGUGAAAUGCGUAGAUAUGCGGAGGAACACCGAUGGCGAAGGCAAUCCCCUGGGCCUGCACUGACGCUCAUGCACGAAAGCGUGGGGAGCAAACAGG